AUACGGAGGGUGCAAGCGUUACUCGGAAUCACUGGGCGUAAAGCGCGCGCAGGCGGCCCGAUAAGUUGGAAGUGAAAUCCUAUGGCUUAACCAUAGAACUGCUCCCAAAACUGUCGGCCUAGAGUCUGGGAGGGGAAGACGGAAUUAGUUGUGUAGGGGUAAAAUCCGUAGAGAUAACUAGGAAUACCAAAAGCGAAGGCGAUCUUCUGGAACAGUACUGACGCUGAGGCGCGAAAGCGUGGGGAGCAAACAGGAUUAGAAACCCUUGUAGUCC
rnacentral:rRNA from 1 species